rnacentral:tRNA from 1 species
AAGAAAGUAUGCAAGAGCUGCUAACUCAUGCCCCCAUGUAUAAAAACAUGGCUUCCUU